UUGAGGAUUUACAUUUUUAUUCUAUUUCUUGAUUCUUUGACUACAAAAGACAAAAUUCCAUUUGAAGACAGAUAUCCUCAGCAAGAAAGUAUGAGGAUCUAGUGAAGUCUCCAUUAGCAGCCAGCAUCCAAGGCUUAUCUACAGAAGGGCAUCCUUCUCAUCAUUUCACUUUGCUUUUUUCAGAACAAGAGAGAUAUCUACAAGCCAACAACAGAGAAUUCAAUGCAUUAUUUGGAUAUCCGUUGAUUCCCCAGAUCUCCUCCUUGGCAUGGUACACAACUGUGAUACCCCUGAUGGUGGUGCUGUCCAUGACAGGAGUGAAAGAUGCCGUCGAUGACUUGGUGAAGUGACUUCCUGGGCCUCUGGUCCUUCACUGUAUCUAGUCAGGGUGUGGGGCAAGAAGAACUUCCCAGAACUAUAUAGUACUAAAAAGAGCUGGGGGGGGGGAGGGGAAAAAGAUGUUUCCUUUGUUUCCUUAUAUCCCGGAAAAAUAUGAAGUUCCUUUAGGCCCAAGAUUGGUGGUCAAUGCACAGCCAAAGAG
rnacentral:lncRNA from 1 species